GACGAACGCUGGCGGCGUGCCUAAUACAUGCAAGUAGAACGCUGAAGAGAGGAGCUUACUCUUCUUGGAUGAGUUGCGAACGGGUGAGUAACGCGUAGGUAACCUGCCUUGUAGCGGGGGAUAACUAUUGGAAACGAUAGCUAAUACCGCAUAACAAUGGAUGACACAUGUCAUUUAUUUGAAAGGGGCAAUUGCUCCACUACAAGAUGGACCUGCGUUGUAUUAGCUAGUAGGUGAGGUAAUGGCUCACCUAGGCGACGAUACAUAGCCGACCUGAGAGGGUGAUCGGCCACACUGGGACUGAGACACGGCCCAGACUCCUACGGGAGGCAGCAGUAGGGAAUCUUCGGCAAUGGGGGCAACCCUGACCGAGCAACGCCGCGUGAGUGAAGAAGGUUUUCGGAUCGUAAAGCUCUGUUGUAAGUCAAGAACGGGUGUGAGAGUGGAAGUUCACACUGUGACGGUAGCUUACCAGAAAGGGACGGCUAACUACGUG
rnacentral:rRNA from 1 species